rnacentral:rRNA from 1 species
CAGCCGUAAACUAUGCUCGCUAGGUGUCAGGCAUGGCGCGACCGUGUCUGGUGCCGCAGGGAAGCCGAGAAGCGAGCCACCUGGGAAGUACGGCCGCAAGGCUGAAACUUAAAGGAUUGGCGGGGGAGCACAACAACGGGUGGAGCCUGCGGUUUAAUGGACUCAACGCCGGACAACUCACCGGGAACGACAGCAAUAUGUAGGCCAGGCUGAAGACCUUGCCUGAAUCGCUGAGAGGUGGUGCAUGGCGUAGACGUCU